rnacentral:rRNA from 1 species
GAUGAACGCUGGCGGCGUGCCUAAUACAUGCAAGUCGAGCGAACGGACGAGAAGCUUGCUUCUCUGAUGUUAGCGGCGGACGGGUGAGUAGCACGUGGAUAACCUACCUAUAAGACUGGGAUAACUUCGGGAAACCGGAGCUAAUACCGGAUAAUAUUUUGAACCGCAUGGUUCAAAAGUGAAAGACGGUCUUGCUGUCACUUAUAGAUGGAUCCGCGCUGCAUUAGCUAGUUGGUAAGGUAACGGCUUACCAAGGCAACGAUGCAUAGCCGACCUGAGAGGGUGAUCGGCCACACUGGAACUGAGACACGGUCCAGACUCCUACGGGAGGCAGCAGUAGGGAAUCUUCCGCAAUGGGCGAAAGCCUGACGGAGCAACGCCGCGUGAGUGAUGAAGGUCUUCGGAUCGUAAAACUCUGUUAUUAGGGAAGAACAUAUGUGUAAGUAACUGUGCACAUCUUGACGGUACCUAAUCAGAAAGCCACGGCUAACUACGU